rnacentral:rRNA from 1 species
GACGGGGCCCGCACAAGCGGUGGAGCAUGUGGUUUAAUUCGAAGCAACGCGAAGAACCUUACCAGGUCUUGACAUCCCCUGACAACCCGAGAGAUCGGGCGUUCCCCCUUCGGGGGGACAGGGUGACAGGUGGUGCAUGGUUGUCGUCAGCUCGUGUCGUGAGAUGUUGGGUUAAGUCCCGCAACGAGCGCAACCCUCGACCUUAGUUGCCAGCAUUCAGUUGGGCACUCUAAGGUGACUGCCGGCUAAAAGUCGGAGGAAGGUGGGGAUGACGUCAAAUCAUCAUGCCCCUUAUGACCUGGGCUACACACGUGCUACAAUGGGCGGUACAAAGGGUCGCGAACCCGCGAGGGGGAGCCAAUCCCAAAAAGCCGCUCUCAGUUCGGAUUGGAGUCUGCAACUCGACUCCAUGAAGUUGGAAUCGCUAGUAAUCGCGGAUCAGCACGCCGCGGUGAAUACGUUCCCGGGCCUU